rnacentral:tRNA from 4 species
GGUGGGAUGACGGAGCGGACGAACGUGCCUGCUUGGAACGCAGGUGGCCGGAAGGCCUCGUGGGUUCGAAUCCCACUCCCACCG